UACGGAGGGUGCGAGCGUUGUCCGGAAUCAUUGGGCGUAAAGGGCGCGUAGGUGGCCCGGUCAGUCUUUGGUGAAAGCGCGGGGCUCAACCCUGCGUCGGCCAGGGAUACUGCCGCGGCUCGAGCACUGUAGAGGCAGGCGGAAUUCCGGGUGUAGCGGUGGAAUGCGUAGAGAUCCGGAAGAACAUCAGUGGCGAAGGCGGCCUGCUGGGCUGUUGCUGACGCUGAGGCGCGACAGCGUGGGGAGCAAACAGG
rnacentral:rRNA from 1 species